GCUUGCCCAUGCCCCCGCCGCUGGUGCCGCUCGCCCACGCCCCCGCCGGUGUCGCCGCUAGAUACUGAACCGGCAGUCCUUGGUGAGUGAGAAAAACGGUUCGAGAUAUAUUUUUUUGGGUUGCAGGAUCGAGCGACGGCUCUAUUGAUCCGAUCGGGAGAAGGCGGCGGCGACAUGGCUCCGGGAGGCGGGGAACGGCGUGGAAACAACGGAUGACGAGGCGAGGCAGAUCAGAUCAGGAUUGAGCGUGGUGGUGCGUAGUGGAGGCCGCCGGCGGCGGUGCUCCACGGCCAUGGCGGCUCGGCCUCGUGGGAAUAAGAAACGAGGGAGAGAGAGGAGGUGAGAUGGAGAGAAGAGAAGCAGAGGAGGGCGACACGGAUUCCUUCUUCUGGUCCAGCGGCGUCUCCGGUCGGCUGAUCCAGGUCAACUAUUGAUUGAUUUCCAAUGUGCUCCUGGCCUCCCAAUUCUUUGUGUCAUGCAACGGCUCUCCGCGGAACUGGAGUACUGUAUGUUGCAAACUUAAAGUCCAAAGGAAAUUCAUCCUGUUACAAGGGCAUAACCCACUGGGUAAACAAGAGAAUCAAGAAGGAAGAACUUUUGUGCUCGUAUCGAACGUCGUGAUGGGUUGACCUCCUCCAGUUCUGAUGAAUUAUUGAUCUUGUUACAAGGGUAUAACCCACUGGGUAAAGAAGAGAAUCAAGAAGGAAGAACUUUUGUGCUCUCUCUGUGAGGUGGACUGUAGCGUUGAGAGUGUGAGCCUACGAGGAUAGUGGAGCGCAACCUGUUAUAGCUAAAAGGUGAAGCCUGGGAGGUGGUGUUCCUGCUCAUCGUCGCCAAAUGUCAAUGACCAGACUCCUCCAUCUCCUGGAACAACUCCACGGCCUCCCUAUCAAGUCCUCUCCUACAAUAGGCUCCAAUCAAGCUAUAUUGUUAGGUUACACCUGGUGGCACUCAAUAAUAUAAGCAUACAUUUGAAGAGUUUAUAAAUUUUGUACAGAGGAGCGGAGAUGAUCUAUUUGAUAUUCCAACAUUUACCAAGUAGGUUCCAUUUGUAAAUGUUUACCAAUUAGUAGGUCAUUUUUUUGUACUGUGUUUGGAGUCAUAAUAGAGUGAUAAGGUAAAAGAUUCAUUUUAUACAAUUAUUAUGUAUGAUUAUUUU